rnacentral:rRNA from 1 species
AGCGAACGCUGGCGGCAGGCUUAACACAUGCAAGUCGAACGGGCACUUCGGUGCUAGUGGCAGACGGGUGAGUAACACGUGGGAACGUACCUUUCGGUUCGGAAUAAUCCAGGGAAACUUGGACUAAUACCGGAUACGCCCUUCGGGGGAAAGAUUCAUCGCCGAUCGAUCGGCCCGCGUCUGAUUAGCUAGUUGGUGAGGUAAUGGCUCACCAAGGCGACGAUCAGUAGCUGGUCUGAGAGGAUGAUCAGCCACAUUGGGACUGAGACACGGCCCAAACUCCUACGGGAGGCAGCAGUGGGGAAUAUUGGACAAUGGGCGCAAGCCUGAUCCAGCCAUGCCGCGUGAGUGAUGAAGGCCUUAGGGUUGUAAAGCUCUUUUGUCCGGGAAGAUAAUGACUGUACCGGAAGAAUAAGCCCCGGCUAACUUCGUG